GGGCGGCGGUAAGGCUUGGCCCCUUGCGGCUGCAACGGCGGCAGGGGAAGCAAGCUGCCGCGGCGCCCGC
rnacentral:ribozyme from 1 species